rnacentral:rRNA from 1 species
GUCCUAGCCGUAAACGAUGGACACUAGGUGUUGGUGGUAUCAACCCCGCCAGUGCCGAAGCUAACGCAUUAAGUGUCCCGCCUGGGGAGUACGGCCGCAAGGCUAAAACUCAAAGGAAUUGACGGGGCCCGCACAAGCAGCGGAGCGUGGGGUUUAAUUCGACGCAACGCGAAAACCUUACCAGGACUUGACAUGACCAGGACCGCGGCGGAAACGUCGCCUCCCCGCAAGGGGCCUGGCCACAGGUGUUGCAUGGCUGUCGU